rnacentral:rRNA from 1 species
AUUGAACGCUGGCGGCAGGCCUAACACAUGCAAGUCGAGCGGAUGAAGGGAGCUUGCUCCUGGAUUCAGCGGCGGACGGGUGAGUAAUGCCUAGGAAUCUGCCUGGUAGUGGGGGAUAACGUCCGGAAACGGGCGCUAAUACCGCAUACGUCCUGAUGGAGAAAGUGGGGGAUCUUCGGACCUCACGCUAUCAGAUGAGCCUAGGUGGGAUUAGCUAGUUGGUGGGGUAAAGGCCUUCCAAGGCGACGAUCCGUAACUGGUCUGAGAGGAUGAUCAGUCACACUGGAACUGAGACACGGUCCAGACUCCUACGGGAGGCAGCAGUGGGGAAUAUUGGACAAUGGGCGAAAGCCUGAUCCAGCCAUGCCGCGUGUGUGAAGAAGGUCUUCGGAUUGGAAAGCACUUUAAGUUGGGAGGAAGGGCAGUAAGUUAAUACCUUGCUGUUUUGACGGUACCAACAGAAUAAGCACCGGCUAACUUCGUG